AACAUAUAGAUAUCUUGGGCCACUGAGGUUUUAUUCACUGUUUUAUGACAUCGUAUCACUUUGAGUCUGCAAGGGCUGAGUGUGAAGAGUAGGAAACGGGAACAUGGAUCUUUCAGAACCGCUGUGUCCAGCCUGGCAAACGAUGUCUUUCUAGAGAACACCUGCAGCAGUGCCAUUUGUGGAGAGGCCUUCACUCCCCCUCCCCCAAACCGUCCUUAAGUGGUCACCUGGAGUAACUUGUAAGCAUAACAAACCUGCUAUCAAACUUGGCUUUCAGUGCUAGCAAAGACUGAUGAAUAAGUACAAGUGAGAUGUUGGAGCUCAGGCAGUAAUUUCAUUGAAGCCAAAGGACCAUCGGUGUGGCCUCCAAGAAAAAAAACUUGAUGCCUGGCAACUGGGGUAUAAAACAUGGCCCUUCUGGGUAUCAGAUGUCUCAUGUAGCUGGGGAUAUCUUGAUCUCACUGCCUCCAUCUCCCAAGUGUGUGCUCACAAGGGGCACCAUGCCCAGCUUCCUUGUGGUUUCUUGAACAAGAAACACAGAAGGUGAUUCUUCUCUUCUGCCACUAAUCUGUUGGAUAGUAAAUUUUGCUCUUGCCUUAAAGGAUAAUGGGCACAUGUAUAUAGCCUAUGAUAAUUUCAUAUAAUGUAGAUUUAUUAAAAAUCAAUAUAGGGCUGGAGAGGUGGCUCAGAGGUUAAGAGCACUGUCUGCUCUUCCAGAGGUCCUGAGUUCAAUUCCCAGCAACCAUAUGGUGGCUCACAACCAUAGGUUAUGAGAUCUGAUGCCCUCUUCUAGUGUGCAUGAAGACAGAGCACUC
rnacentral:lncRNA from 1 species